UGAAGAAUAUAUGAAGAUAAUAUAAUCUAACGGUGGAUUUAUCAAAAUUCACAUCUAAUUAAAAUAUAUUGAGUGGUGUAAUAUUGCUUAAAGUUACACUAGGUGUAACUUGAACUCAAUCCUCUAUAUAUAUAUAUAAAUAUAAGUAAAUUCAUUUCAAUCGUCUUGUCAAAAUAAAUAAAUAAAUAAAUUUACAAAAAGCUUUAUGGUCCGUUUGGAUUGAACUUAUUUUUGCUGAAACUGAAAAUUGAAAAUACUAUAGCAAAAUAAUUUUUAAAUGUGUGAAUCAAGAAGUCUCAAAAUGAAGGCCAUUCUCAUUGUCUGCCUUCUCUUGGCUUCCAUAUUUUUCAUUCCUUCUUCAAAUGCAGCAUCAGAAAAGUGUAAUCCAUAUAUUCGUGGAUCUUGUCGCUCGAAGCCGCCAGCUCAACCCUUGAAGCCAGUUGCUCCACCGUUGAAGCCGCCAACUCCACCAACGCCAGGUCCACCCUAUAGGAGGCCAAGCCCGCCAUUCAAUAGGCCACCUCGAUCUGGAUGUAACCGAUAUAACCGUUGCCCACAUUCAACCCCUUAAGAAAUGAAGCACCAUGGUUCAAUAAUAAUUAAGCAUUAGGUUGCUUAUUAUCGUGGAGAGAAGUUAAGAAUAAAGUGGGUUUUAUGUGAUAUAUGGUUUGGGCUUUAUGAUGCCUCUUAUAAUUAGUUCCUAGUUAUGUAUUA